rnacentral:rRNA from 1 species
CAAUAGCGUAUAUUUAAGUUGUUGCAGUUAAAAAGCUCGUAGUUGGAUUUCGGAUGGGACUUGCCGGUCCGUCGUUUCGAUGUGCACUGGCCAGUCCUAUCUUGUUGUCGGGGACUAGCUCCUGGGCUUCACUGUCCGGGACUAGGAGCUGACGAGGUUACUUUGAGUAAAUUAGAAUGUUCAAAGCAAGCCUACGCUCUGAAUACAUUAGCAUGGAAUAACACGAUAGGACUCUGGCUUAUCUUGUUGGUCUGUGAGACCAGAGUAAUGAUUAAGAGGGACAGUCGGGGGCAUUCGUAUUUCAUUGUCAGAGGUGAAAUUCUUGAAUUUAUGAAAGACGAACUUCUGCGAAAGCAUUUGUCAAGGAUGUUUUCAUUA